rnacentral:rRNA from 1 species
UGCUUAACACAUGCCAGUCGAACGAAGCUUGAUUACGGAUUCUUCGGAUGAAGUAUGAUAUGACUGAGUGGCGGACGGGUGAGUAACGCGUGAGUAACCUGCCCUUCAGAGGGGGAUAGCGUUUGGAAACGAACGGUAAUACCGCAUAAUGUAUUUUGACCGCAUGAUCGAAAUACCAAAGAUUUAUCGCUGAAGGAUGGACUCGCGUCUGAUUAGGUAGUUGGUGGGGUAACGGCCUACCAAGCCGACGAUCAGUAGCCGGACUGAGAGGUUGAUCGGCCACAUUGGGACUGAGACACGGCCCAGACUCCUACGGGAGGCAGCAGUGGGGAAUAUUGCACAAUGGGCGCAAGCCUGAUGCAGCAACGCCGCGUGAAGGAAGACGGUUUUCGGAUUGUAAACUUCUGUUCUUAGUGAAGAAUAAUGACGGUAGCUAAGGAGCAAGCCACGGCUAACUACGUGCCAGCAGCCGCGGUAAUACGUAGGUGGCAAGCGUUGUCCGGAAUUACUGGGUGUAAAGGGAGCGCAGGCGGGUGAUCAAGUCAGCUGUGAAAACUACGGGCUUAACCCGUAGACUGCAGUUGAAACUGUUCAUCUUGAGUGAAGUAGAGGUUGGCGGAAUUCCGAGUGUAGCGGUGAAAUGCGUAGAUAUUCGGAGGAACACCGGUGGCGAAGGCGGCCAACUGGGCUUUAACUGACGCUGAGGCUCGAAAGUGUGGGGAGCAAACAGGAUUAGAUACCCUGGUAGUCCACACUGUAAACGAUGAUUGCUAGGUGUGGGGGGUCUGACCCCUUCCGUGCCGGAGUUAACGCAAUAAGCAAUCCACAAGGGGAGU